rnacentral:ncRNA from 1 species
CGAGCCUCUGGAGAGACUCUAUAAAAGAGCACCGAAGGAGAAAGGUAUAAAGAUUACUUUAUACUGAAACUCUCAGGUAAAAGGACAGGGGGUA